ensembl:lncRNA
UUUCUAAAUCACAUGCACACAUGUUGUCUGCACGCUUCUAACGUCACACACUUGUAGCCACACCUCCAGCACGAAACCUUUAUAUGUCACCAGCAGACCUGACGGCCAACAAGAAGGGCUCUUGGAUUUCAGAGGCGUGCUGAAGAUCGAGGCUCCGGCCCUUUUGGUUCCUGCGCAGCUGCCAACGCAAGGAGCUCCACCUGCAGGAGGCGUGACAUUUUAUAACCCCUCCCAGUUUGCACAGUCUGUUCCCACAAGCCGCGCUCGACCUGGUCAUCUGGGACAGAGAGGAUACCCCACACUGAAAUAACAGUAUCGCUGUAGUUCUAGAUCAAACUGUGGCUCUAGACCAGAUCGGACUGAAGUUUGGUUCCUGCCUGGACUCCUGGAAGUGCUGACAUGCGGCCCUCAGCCUCCCAGAUAACGUUGUCGCUGUUAUUAUCAUGGUUUUCCCAUCUGUGCUGAAGUCGGUGUGAACGGAUCAGACUCGGUCAUUCUUAAUUUCUCCUUCUAGACUCAUCGUACCCAUUACGGUCUUACUCUGUCCUCUUGUUCUGUGUUUGUACGGACCGGGAGGCACUUCUUCAACGUGAGCAGUGUGAAUAUAAGUGCAAUAUGUCCAUUUUUAGCCCUGUGUAGUUUGAUUUCCUUUAAUAGUCUGCUCAUUUCAACAGGGUGAAUGCGAGUGUGUGUGAGCGCGUGUGUAGGGAGGAAAUGUGGGCGUGUCUUGCUGAAUGAAGGCAGUCAAUGCAUGAUUUAGAAGGCGGUCUGGCCUGUUGUCAUGGGAACAGUGCAGCGUGCCAGAAUGUUUUAGAUAUUUAUUAAGCUUCCUGUCGAAAUGAAACAGUCGAAACGCUGUUGCCAGACAGGAUCUGUACAUCAGAAUGAGUUUGUGUACGCAUAGUCAUGACGUGCUAAACAAACCCAUCUCUUUUUCCAUCUUCUGAUUGAAUGCUUCAUUUUGCCAGUAGCGAAGAAUCAUACAGUUCUGAUUUACCAAAAUCCUGUGAUCAUUGUGUGUGUUAUGCUCAUAAAAUAUCAUUUAUUAUUUUCCUGGCUUCAUCUCGCUCUCCGAUCGGUUGUCUUCAUGUCUCUUAAUCACACGCCAUUAUUCCUUUGCUCAUUCCGGGAUUCUUGUUCCCAUGGUAACAGCGGGGUUUUGUAAUUCCAAAGGUCUGCUCUGUUUGAAGGAAGCUCAGACUUUUCCAAUGUGUUUAGAAAUUGACUGUACAAUUCUUGAUAAAGUGAUAAUAAAGAUAUUUUUGAGCUCUUUAA